UAGGGUCGAUCAGUACAUACAUGCAAGGAGCCAGAGGACAUUUAAUUUAAAAUCUUUCAUAGAAGUGAGAAUAAUGGGAGAAAACAAAGGGACAGCAUCGACCCAAUUACCCCUUCCACAGGAAGGCUUAGUGUCAAUCAGUACAUACAAUCAAGAAGCCAGAUGAAAAUUUAAUUUCAAAAUCUUUCAUAGAAGUCAGAAUAAGGGGAGAAUACAAAAGGACGGUAUACUAAAAGUAG